GAUGAACGCUGGCGGCGUGCCUAAUACAUGCAAGUCGAGCGAACGGACGAGAAGCUUGCUUCUCUGAUGUUAGCGGCGGACGGGUGAGUAACACGUGGAUAACCUACCUAUAAGACUGGGAUAACUUCGGGAAACCGGAGCUAAUACCGGAUAAUAUUUUGAACCGCAUGGUUCAAAAGUGAAAGACGGUCUUGCUGUCACUUAUAGAUGGAUCCGCGCUGCAUUAGCUAGUUGGUAAGGUAACGGCUUACCAAGGCAACGAUGCAUAGCCGACCUGAGAGGGUGAUCGGCCACACUGGAACUGAGACACGGUCCAGACUCCUACGGGAGGCAGCAGUAGGGAAUCUUCCGCAAAGGGCGAAAGCCUGACGGAGCAACGCCGCGUGAGUGAUGAAGGUAUUCGGAUCGUAAAACUCUGUUAUUAGGGAAGAACAUAUGUGUAAGUAACUGUGCACAUCUUGACGGUACCUAAUCAGAAAGCCACGGCUAACUACGUG
rnacentral:rRNA from 1 species